rnacentral:rRNA from 1 species
GCGAGACCUCAGGUCAGGCGGGGCUACCCGCUGAGUUUAAGCAUAUCAAUAAGCGGAGGAAAAGAAACUAACAAGGAUUCCCUUA